GUUUAUCACCAUACCACCCUGAAUGUGCCCAAUCUUGUCUAAUCACAGAAGCUAAGCAGGGUCAACUAGCUAGUACUUGAUUGGAACAUACAGUUAAGUGCUAAAUA
rnacentral:rRNA from 1 species